GAAAUUUAACGGAUUUGGCGGCAAGAUAGCCCCUUAGAGGAACCUGCCCUGUAAACGAUGAACCACGAAUGACACAACUUUUCUUUGAAAUCAGUUUGUAUAUCGCUGUUGUCAGUUAGAUUCUUGAGAAUAUUUUCAUUUAUGAUAAAGUCAUUGACUUCAAGUAAAGGUGCAGCUUAUAGAAAAGGUAGAGGUGGGUUACAUUUGUGUGAAUAAAACGGAUAAGAUAAGAGAAAUAGUCUUUGAAGGUGGAUUUAACUGUAAAGCUUAAAGAAGCUUGGUGAGAGCUCUAUCUUGUGUACACACCGCCCGUC
rnacentral:rRNA from 1 species